rnacentral:lncRNA from 1 species
UGGUCCAUAAGUACCAAAUGAGGAAGGGUAUGAAGACAGGCCAACUGAUGUAGUGAUUAUAGAAUUCUUUAGAUUUUAGUUGGUGCUUUAGCCAGUUGAAAGUAGUAAUCUCAUUGUCCGAUUGGGGGUAGUUAUGAUUUAUAUGGCAUUGUUCCCAAAUUUCCUUUGAGUAGGUACAUUUGAAGAUCAUGUGUUUAAUUUCCUCUUUUUCCACUCCACAUAUGAUGAAAGUGUCAAAGGUGCAGAUAUUACAUAUUGCUAGAAGGAUGGUUGUUAGAAGUCUGUUAAGGACGGGCAACCACAUGAAGUAUUUUAGUUUAUUUAGGGUAUUGCUUUUUCCAGAUCUACUUAAAGUCUAGGUUGUUAUCUAC